UACGAAGGGUGCAAGCGUUACUCGGAAUUACUGGGCGUAAAGCGUGCGUAGGCGGUUUGUUAAGUCCGCUGUGAAAUCCCCGGGCUCAACCCGGGAACUGCGUCCGAUACUGGCAGGCUUGAAUCCGGGAGAGGGAUGCGGAAUUCCAGGUGUAGCGGUGAAAUGCGUAGAUAUCUGGAGGAACACCGGUGGCGAAGGCGGCAUCCUGGACCGGCAUUGACGCUGAGGCGCGAAAGCCAGGGGAGCAAACGGG
rnacentral:rRNA from 1 species